UACGUAGGGGGCGAGCGUUGUCCGGAAUUACUGGGCGUAAAGCGCGCGCGGGCGGUUGGUCGCGUCGGUCGUGAAAGCCCCCGGCUCAACCGGGGCGGGUCGACCGAAACGGGCUGACUGGAGGGUGUCAGAGGGGGGUGGAAUUCCGGGUGGAGCGGUGAAAUGCGUAGAGAUCCGGAGGAACACCAGCGGCGAAGGCGGCCCCCUGGGGCAACCCUGACGCUGAGGCGCGAAGGCCAGGGGAGCGAACGGG
rnacentral:rRNA from 1 species